UCAGUUGCCAUACUCCUAGGCAAAACAGCCGUUAAAAUUUGGUUUGGCCCCAGUCCGAAACCCUUUUGAUUGGGUCAUAAUAAUCCGAACUUGACGACGCUGUAUUCAGAAAGCUUCCCACUUUGCCUGAAAAAUCUCAGUAAACAGGUCAUUUCAGACUUGGAGAGUUGCAGUGGCGAUGAAGAGAAGAGCGGCUUCAUUAGGGUAGGAUUGAUAGUGGUGACAAUCUUGAUGAUGCUCUGAGCUUAUACCAGCAGAUGGUCCGGAUGAGGCCUCUUUCGGGAACAUAAGGUUCCCCAAGCGCAAGAAUUGUUUAAGAAAAUAAUAUUCGAAAAGCUUUGCAAGCCCGAUGACGUUUUGUUUCUGAAUGUGAUAGAUGGGCUCUGUAAGGUGGGCAACACUCAAAAGACUGUUGAAUUCCUCAGAGUCAUGGAAAAAAGAAGAAGAUGUAAGCCCAAUGUUAAUGUGUACAAUACUAUCAUUGACAGCUUUUGCAAAGAUAAAAUGGUCGGUGAAGCUCUUGCCCUUUUGCAGGAGAUGAUUGAAAAGGGCAUUCCCUCAGAUGUUGUCACUUAUAAUUGUUUGAUUGGUGGUCAAUGCAAUUUAAAUAGAUGGAAAGACGUUACAAAGCUCUUUUCUGAGAUGAAGGAUUACAAAAUUACUACACAGUGGUGGAUGCCCCAAUGAAGAAAUGAUUCGUAGAGGUUUCUUGCUAGAUGCAUCUACUUUUUCCAUUUUACUUGAUUCAUCUACUGAAAAACAGAAAAAUCCUUCUCUACUUGUGUUGAUGCUGAAGAAUGGUCCUGAUAGCAAGGAGUUUAUGGAUGGGGGAUAAAGUGGACCUUCACAUUGGUUGCAACUUUUGGUCCUACUGGUUUUUUGCCCCUAAACUUUAACUAACAUUAUUUAGGUUUGCUUUUGAUUCUGUUCUCGGAAUAUAAGAAGUGUUUUAGGUGGAAGAAGCCGCGGUCUUUAAGGGAAUACAAGUGUACUGGUGUACCCAAUUAUCCAUGAAUUAUCUCUCUUCCUGUGUAGACGAAGCAUAUAUGGUGGUGCCAUUGUCUUCAUCUCCCACAGCUCCAAGUGUUCCUCUGGUUCAACGACAGAGCGCAGAGAGCCGAUAUUGAAAACUUUCCGCCACUCAUCAUCAAUUUUCCAGCAAUUCUUCCACCUCUUCUCCUCAAUCGAACCACCUGUCACUCACUUAAACAGGGAGGUCUUCUCAUCAAGGAAGAAGACCUUAAACAGCAACCCCAACACCAGGAAGAAUGAUUAAACUAUUUUCCUGCUAGCUAUCCUUAGACGUGCCUUAUCAUGAGAAUCAAGGACAGGGAGGUCUUCAAAACUCAUCUCCUUGUAAAUUGUAAUGAUGCUUCAAAGUGUUACAACCAUGACAAGAAAACAAUUAAACUAAUAAUACCAUUUUGUUCCCUCUA